GGCCGGAUGGUGUAGUUGGUUAUCACAUUUCCUUAACAUACGAUUUCAGAAAUCAGAGUAACGGAAAAGGUCCUGGGAUCGAACCCCAGUCUGGUCA